rnacentral:rRNA from 1 species
UGGGGGAUAUUGCACAAUGGGGGGAAACCCUGAUGCAGCGACGCCGCGUGAGGGAAGACGGUCCUCUGGAUUGUAAACCUCUGUCUUCGGGGACGAAACGAGACGGUACCCGAGGAGGAAGCCCCGGCUAACUACGUGCCAGCAGCCGCGGUAAUACGUAGGGGGCAAGCGUUAUCCGGAUUUACUGGGUGUAAAGGGAGCGUAGACGGCAAUGCAAGUCUGAAGUGAAAGGACGGGGCUUAACCCUGUGACUGCUUUGGAAACUGUGUAGCUUGAGUGCCGGAGGGGUAAGCGGAAUUCCUAGUGUAGCGGUGAAAUGCGUAGAUAUUAGGAGGAACACCAGUGGCGAAGGCGGCUUACUGGACGGUAACUGACGUUGAGGCUCGAAAGCGUGGGGAGCAAACAGGAUUAGAUACCCUGGUAGU